rnacentral:rRNA from 1 species
UACAGAGGGUGCAAGCGUUAAUCGGAAUUACUGGGCGUAAAGCGUGCGUAGACGGUUACAUAAGUCGGGUGUGAAAGCCCCGGGCUCAACCUGGGAAUUGCAUUCGAGACUGCGUAGCUAGGGUGCGGAAGAGGGAAGCGGAAUUUCCGGUGUAGCGGUGAAAUGCGUAGAUAUCAGGAGGAACACCGAUGGCGAAGGCAGGUCUCUGGGCCACUACUGACGCUGAGAAGCGAAAGCAUGGGGAGCGAACAGG